GGCCACAGGAGGCACCCAAGGGGAUUGAAAAUCCCCGUGUCGGCGGUUCGAUUCCGUCCCCGGCCACCA
rnacentral:tRNA from 1 species